rnacentral:sRNA from 1 species
CCUAAGACAUAUGCUGCCUUUAAAUAAAAAAGAUAUCAGGAUCUGUAGAUCUUUUAGUAUAUUUGGAAAAGACUUACAGCCAAGAAUAGCAACGAAGUGCAGUUCAUGGAGGACUUACAUUCGACUUUUGAUCACCAUAGAGAAUAAGCUUUUAUAUUGAAUUAGUUUCGUGGUCAAUCAAGAGCUUUGCAGGUCCUUGGUUAAACGCAACUUUUCGUAGUAUUUGAUUUAGUAUAUUUUCAAUAUAUUUCAUACAGUGUGUACAUACUCGUAAAUACUCGUAUCUAAAGGGUUUCUGUUAUUACAAUUACUGCCCGACUAUCUUCUUGAUAUUAUUGAUGCCGUCGUUUACUGCAUUCGUAAUUUCGGGUACUAGUGGAAUUUUUUCAAUUACACCAACACUGCAUCGCCAGAGACAUAUGCUGCC